rnacentral:rRNA from 1 species
AAUCCAUAGGUUAAUGAGGCGAACCGGGGGAACUGAAACAUCUAAGUACCCCGAGGAAAAGAAAUCAACCGAGAUUCCCCCAGUAGCGGCGAGCGAACGGGGAGGAGCCCAGAGCCUGAAUCAGCAUGUGUGUUAGUGGAAGCGUCUGGAAAGGCGCGCGAUACAGGGUGACAGCCCCGUACACAAAAGCGCAUGUGCUGUGAGCUCGAUGAGUAGGGCGGGACACGUGGUAUCCUGUCUGAAUAUGGGGGGACCAUCCUCCAAGGCUAAAUACUCCUGACUGACCGAUAGUGAACCAGUACCGUGAGGGAAAGGCGAAAAGAACCCCGGCGAGGGGAGUGAAAAAGAACCUGAAACCGUGUACGUACAAGCAGUGGGAGCACAGGUUUACCUGUGUGACUGCGUACCUUUUGUAUAAUGGGUCAGCGACUUAUAUUCUGUAGCAAGGUUAACCGUAUAGGGGAGCCGGAGGGAAACCGAGUCUUAAUUGGGCGUUAAGUUGCAGGGUAUAGACCCGAAACCCGGUGAUCUAGCCAUGGGCAGGUUGAAGGUUGGGUAACACUAACUGGAGGACCGAACCGACUAAUGUUGAAAAAUUAGCGGAUGACCUGUGGCUGGGGGUGAAAGGCCAAUCAAACCGGGAGAUAGCUGGUUCUCCCCGAAAGCUAUUUAGGUAGCGCCUCGUGAAUUCAUCUCCGGGGGUAGAGCACUGUUUCGGCUAGGGGGCCAUCCCGGCUUACCAACCCGAUGCAAACUGCGAAUACCGGAGAAUGUUAUCACGGGAGACACACGGCGGGUGCUAACGUCCGUCGUGAAGAGGGAAACAACCCAGACCGCCAGCUAAGGUCCCAAAGUCAUGGUUAAGUGGGAAACGAUGUGGGAAGGCCCAGACAGCCAGGAUGUUGGCUUAGAAGCAGCCAUCAUUUAAAGAAAGCGUAAUAGCUCACUGGUCGAGUCGGCCUGCGCGGAAGAUGUAACGGGGCUAAACCAUGCACCGAAGCUGCGGCAGCGAACGUAUCACCCAAGACAACUUUACGGAGUUGACGAUUGACGGAGCGAAGCGACGUCAAAGCGUUCAUUAAAGUCGAGUUGGCUUAGGGAUACGUUCGUUGGGUAGGGGAGCGUUCUGUAAGCCUGUGAAGGUGUGUCGUGAGGCAUGCUGGAGGUAUCAGAAGUGCGAAUGCUGACAUAAGUAACGAUAAAGCGGGUGAAAAGCCCGCUCGCCGGAAGACCAAGGGUUCCUGUCCAACGUUAAUCGGGGCAGGGUGAGUCGACCCCUAAGGCGAGGCCGAAAGGCGUAGUCGAUGGGAAACGGGUUAAUAUUCCCGUACUUGGUGUUACUGCGAAGGGGGGACGGAGAAGGCUAUGUUGGCCGGGCGACGGUUGUCCCGGUUUAAGCGUGUAGGUGUGUGUUCCAGGUAAAUCCGGUUCACUUUAACACUGAGGCGUGACGACGAGGCACUACGGUGCUGAAGCAACAAAUGCCCUGCUUCCAGGAAAAGCCUCUAAGCAUCAGGUAACAUCAAAUCGUACCCCAAACCGACACAGGUGGUCAGGUAGAGAAUACCAAGGCGCUUGAGAGAACUCGGGUGAAGGAACUAGGCAAAAUGGUGCCGUAACUUCGGGAGAAGGCACGCUGACACGUAGGUGAAGUGAUUUACUCAUGGAGCUGAAGUCAGUCGAAGAUACCAGCUGGCUGCAACUGUUUAUUAAAAACACAGCACUGUGCAAACACGAAAGUGGACGUAUACGGUGUGACGCCUGCCCGGUGCCGGAAGGUUAAUUGAUGGGGUCAGCGCAAGCGAAGCUCCUGAUCGAAGCCCCGGUAAACGGCGGCCGUAACUAUAACGGUCCUAAGGUAGCGAAAUUCCUUGUCGGGUAAGUUCCGACCUGCACGAAUGGCGUAAUGAUGGCCAGGCUGUCUCCACCCGAGACUCAGUGAAAUUGAACUCGCUGUGAAGAUGCAGUGUACCCGCGGCAAGACGGAAAGACCCCGUGAACCUUUACUAUAGCUUGACACUGAACAUUGAGCCUUGAUGUGUAGGAUAGGUGGGAGGCUUUGAAGUGUGGACGCCAGUCUGCAUGGAGCCGACCUUGAAAUACCACCCUUUAAUGUUUGAUGUUCUAACGUGGACCCGUAAUCCGGGUUGCGGACAGUGUCUGGUGGGUAGUUUGACUGGGGCGGUCUCCUCCUAAAGAGUAACGGAGGAGCACGAAGGUUGGCUAAUCCUGGUCGGACAUCAGGAGGUUAGUGCAAUGGCAUAAGCCAGCUUGACUGCGAGCGUGACGGCGCGAGCAGGUGCGAAAGCAGGUCAUAGUGAUCCGGUGGUUCUGAAUGGAAGGGCCAUCGCUCAACGGAUAAAAGGUACUCCGGGGAUAACAGGCUGAUACCGCCCAAGAGUUCAUAUCGACGGCGGUGUUUGGCACCUCGAUGUCGGCUCAUCACAUCCUGGGGCUGAAGUAGGUCCCAAGGGUAUGGCUGUUCGCCAUUUAAAGUGGUACGCGAGCUGGGUUUAGAACGUCGUGAGACAGUUCGGUCCCUAUCUGCCGUGGGCGCUGGAGAACUGAGGGGGGCUGCUCCUAGUACGAGAGGACCGGAGUGGACGCAUCACUGGUGUUCGGGUUGUCAUGCCAAUGGCACUGCCCGGUAGCUAAAUGCGGAAGAGAUAAGUGCUGAAAGCAUCUAAGCACGAAACUUGCCCCGAGAUGAGUUCUCCCUGAGACUUAG